rnacentral:rRNA from 1 species
UACAGCGAGUACUUCCAGCUCCGAGAGGCUGCUGGUAAUCAGCAAUAUGCAUCGUGAUGGGGAUAGAUCUUUGGAAUUAUAGAUCUUGAACGAGGAAUUCCUAGUAAACGCAAGUCAUUACCUUGCGUUGACUAAGUCCCUGCCCUUUGUACACACCGCCCGUCGCUCCUACCGAUUUCGAGUGAUCCGGUGAACCUUUUGGACCGCGUGGGUCUACCUAACGUGGAAAAUCAAGUAAACCAUAUCACUUAGAGGAAGGAGAAGUCGUAACAAGGUUUCCGUAGGUGAACCUGCGGAAGGAUCAUUAACACU